rnacentral:rRNA from 1 species
GAUUUACUGGGCGUAAAGAGCGUUGAGGCGGUUCUGUAAGUUGGGCGUGAAAGCCCUCGGCUUAACUGAGGGACGCCGUCCAAUACUGCAGGACUUGAGGGCAGCAGAGGGAGGUGGAAUUCCCGGUGUAGCGGUGAAAUGCGUAGAGAUCGGGAGGAACACCAGUGGCGAAGGCGGCCUCCUGGGCUGCUUCUGACGCUGAAUGCGAAAGCUAGGGUAGCGAACGGGAUUAGAAACCCCGGUAGUCCUAGCUGUAAACGAUGGAUGCUAGGUGUAGGAGGUAUAGAUCCCUUCUGUGCCGAAGCUAACGCGAUAAGCAUCCCGCCUGGGGACUACGGCCGCAAGGCUAAAACUCAAACGAAUUGACGGGGGCCCGCACAAGCAGCGGAGCGUGUGGUUUAAUUCGAUGCUACACGAAGAACCUUACCUGGGUUUGACAUGUAGGUAGUAGUGAAGCGAAAGCGGAACGACCCUUCGGGGAGCCUACACAGGUGCUGCAUGGCUGUCGUCAGCUCGUGCCGUGAGGUGUCGGGUUAAGUCCCGUAACGAGCGCAACCCCUGUCCUUAGUUACAAGUGUCUAAGGAGACUGCCGGCGACAAGCCGGAGGAAGGUGGGGAUGACGUCAAGUCAGCAUGGCCUUUAUGUCCAGGGCUACACACACGCUACAAUGGCCGGUACAAUGGGUUGCCAAGCCGUGAGNCGGAGCUAAUCCCCCAAAGCCGGUCUCAGUUCGGAUUGUGGGCUGCAACUCGCCCACAUGAAGUUGGAGUUGCUAGUAACCGCAGGUCAGCUAUACUGCGGUGAAUACGUUCCCGGGCAUUGUACACACCGCCCGUCACGUCAUGGAAGUCAGUAACACCUGAAGCCGGUGGGCUAACCUGCAAGGGGGCAGCCGUCGAAGG